GCGUGUGUGAAGAAGGUCUUCGGAUUGUAAAGCACUUUCGACAGGGACGAUGAUGACGGUACCUGUAGAAGAAGCCCCGGCUAACUUCGUGCCAGCAGCCGCGGUAAUACGAAGGGGGCUAGCGUUGCUCGGAAUGACUGGGCGUAAAGGGCGCGUAGGCGGUUUAUUGGGUCAGAUGUGAAAUUCCUGGGCUUAACCUGGGGGCUGCAUUUGAAACUAAUAGGCUAGAGUUCGGAAGAGGGUCGUGGAAUUCCCAGUGUAGAGGUGAAAUUCGU
rnacentral:rRNA from 1 species